ensembl:lncRNA
GGGGAGAGCCCUCGUAAGGAAAUGAGCACCAAAGAGGUGGCAGAACCUGAAUGCUUUUCCAACAGAUUGGACAAAGAGGGGUGAUUGUGGAGAAGUAACUGAAAUAUAUAGAAAGAAGGCUCUUAAAAGGUGGGCCUUGACUCCCAGGAUGUUCGUGAGAAUUAGAUGACAUCAUGACUGUACAAAGCGUCAAGUGGAAUGCCUGGUUCCUGAAAGGCUGCCUGGUGAAAUCUACACAGCUGAUGACUUUGGGCUCUGGUUUGGACCAUGACAGACCAUCCGUCUACUAUUGACCCUAUAAUCAGGUUGGUGGCUGGAUGUCUCCUGAGCCUAUGUGUGGACAGACCCAGCCACUUCCUGUUUUAGCUGUAUCAAGAAUUACGAUUUUAUUAAGGGAGAUAAUAAACUUAGCAAAUAAGAGUUAUUUUCCUAAACUACGCAGAGAAAACCAGAAAAUAUUCUUACGUAAGAACUGGCAAGUUCUUAGGCCUGAAAUACUAUUCUUCCCAAAUGAUGUUAGGCAUAACAUAUUAGUAAAAUAGUAAUUUUAAAGUUAUCUUUACAGAAGUCUUGUUUACCUGGAGUCUCUCCCCAAACCCUGCCACUUUUUCACGUUUUUGUUUUUUAUUCCCUUUGAUUUCCCUGGAACGUGCUUUCUUACUUGCCUGGUGAUUUCAAGUUUUGCAGAUUUGUUUUUAGUUCAGUUUUUAAACAGGUGUCUUUGUAAGGAGAGUUGAACAGUCAGUGGGCUGAUGCUGUGGUGUUUCAGUUUCUAAGUUUUAAACUUAUGGGACUUCUUUAAAGUGGACACAAAAACUUCAUAAAAGCUUUCAUGUUGACAACACUGGGCCUUUAGGGCUAAGCUCUAAGAAGGAUGAGAAAACAAAGAGUUACAUUGUAACUCCCUUGGUUAAUCUAAUUUAUUCACAUAUUUAACCACAGUCAGCAUGUAGUUGUUUUCCUCAAAGAGGCCCACUUUCCAAAACACAAUUUUCAAAAUGUCUUCUCUCCCCACAAAGCUCCUUGUGUUUCAUUAACCCUUUUUGUGCUUGCCAGCGUUUCUCUCCUAUAGUUAUUUGCCAGCUUAGCAGGACCCUGGUUGAAAAUUGACUCUAACCCUGUUUUCAUGACAUACUCUCUAAGCUACCAAUUAAUCCCAAG